rnacentral:rRNA from 1 species
UACAGAGGGUGCAAACGUUGCUCGGAAUUACUGGGCGUAAAGCGCGUGUAGGUGGUUUCGCAAGUCAGGUGUGAAAGCCCGAGGCUCAACCUCGGAAGUGCACUUGAUACUACGGAGCUGGAGUCUUGGAGAGGAGAGCGGAAUUCCCGGUGUAGAGGUGAAAUUCGUAGAUAUCGGGAGGAACACCAGUGGCGAAGGCGGCUCUCUGGACAAGUACUGACACUGAGACGCGAAAGCAUGGGGAGCAAACAGGAUUAGAUACCCCCGUAGUCC